UACGUAGGUGGCAAGCGUUGUCCGGAAUUAUUGGGCGUAAAGGGCUCGUAGGCGGUCUGUUGCGUCGGGAGUGAAAACUUACAGCUUAACUGUGAGCGUGCUUCCGAUACGGGCAGACUUGAGGUAUUCAGGGGAGAACGGAAUUCCUGGUGUAGCGGUGAAAUGCGCAGAUAUCAGGAAGAACACCCGUGGCUAAGGCGGCUCUCUAGUACGGUACUGACGCUGAGACGCGAAAGCGUGGGGAGCGAACAGG
rnacentral:rRNA from 1 species